AUACGGAGGGAGCAAGCGUUAUUUGGAAUCACUGGGCGUAAAGGACGCGUAGGCGGGUUUGUAAGUCAGGUGUGAAAUCCUACAGCUCAACUGUAGAACUGCACUUGAAACUACAGACCUAGAGUAUGGAAGGGGCAGAUGGAAUUAGUGGUGUAGGGGUAAAAUCCGUAGAUAUCACUAGGAAUACCGAAAGCGAAGGCGAUCUGCUGGGACAUUACUGACGCUGAGGCGUGAAAGCGUGGGGAGCAAACAGGAUUAGAUACCCUAGUAGUCC
rnacentral:rRNA from 1 species